rnacentral:tRNA from 1 species
AACUCCAUAGCUCAGUGGUUAGAGCACUGGUCUUGUAAACCGGAGGUCGCGAGUUCGAUCCUCGCUGGGGCCU